rnacentral:rRNA from 1 species
GGGCACCUGAUCCAGCCAUGCCGCGUGUGUGAAGAAGGCCUUUUGGUUGUAAAGCACUUUAAGCAGUGAAGAAGACCUAACGGUUAAUACCCGUUAGCGAUGACAUUAGCUGCAGAAUAAGCACCGGCUAACUCUGUGCCAGCAGCCGCGGUAAUACAGAGGGUGCAAGCGUUAAUCGGAAUUACUGGGCGUAAAGCGAGCGUAGGUGGCUUGAUAAGUCAGAUGUGAAAUCCCCGGGCUUAACCUGGGAACUGCAUCUGAUACUGUUAAGCUAGAGUAGGUGAGAGGGAAGUAGAAUUCCAGGUGUAGCGGUGAAAUGCGUACAGAUCUGGAGGAAUACCGAUGGCGAAGGCAGCUUCCUGGCAUCAUACUGACACUGAGGCUCGAAAGCGUGGGUAGCAAACAGGAUUAGAUACCGAGUAGUCC